UCUCCCCUAAUCCCAUCAAUGGCUCAAACCCUAGGCCAAUUCCCACCAUGUUUGCCGCUACCUCCCGCCCCUCUCUCUUCCUGGGCUCCAAUGGAGCGAAGCUGGCGACGCUUCCUCCCCUUUCCACGGGUUUCCUGGCGGCGUGCUGCAUCUCGCAUGGCGGCCGGCGCGGUGGCCGGCGGUCCGCUGGGCUCUGUCCUCCACCUAACCCCUAUUUGUUUUGGGCAGAACGAAGGCUUCCAUGAUGUUUUGGUGAUUCGUUGCUGCUAGGGAGGGAGAUGGGAAGGGGAAGAACAGGAGGUGAAGGAGAUGGAAGAGGACACAACGACCACAGAUCUGCUCAAACAAGGGAGUAAACUGCAUUCUCUCGGGAAUAAUAAGAUGGGACAACAGGAAGAUGGCAUGAUGAUGCGUGCUCGUCUGCUCGAAGACAUCGUCCUUAGGCAAUGGAGCAUGGGUGGUUGGGAUGAAUGCUGCAGUGUCGUCAUCGUCUUUCUCCUGCAGCAAGUCCAAUCUCCCCGCCACCCGUGAAUACAUAUACUGAUUUACAUUGUUGAUGAUUAGGAUCCAUGUUUCAGCGACUUUGAAGAAAUGCUAUUCUAUACAUGCUAUUCUAUCCACUGGUUGCUAGCUGAAGACUGAUCGAGUACUUGGAACUCCUUUAUCUUAGAGGUAAACUCUGGUUGCAUUUGGACAUAUAAAUCAGUGGAUUACGGAAGGACAAAUGUUUCAUCUCUUCCCCAAAUGUUGAGAAAAUGUAUAUUUUAAAGGCGCAAUAGACUGUUCGAAAAAUUAUCCAUGCUUCCACAAAUGUACAUUUCAAGCGCAACAGUCAUCUGCUACCAUGGUAUUGUGCACCCUCCAUCUCAAAUACCAGUUUAAUUAGUAGAUUC